rnacentral:rRNA from 1 species
UACGUAGGGACCAAGCGUUGUUCGGAUUUACUGGGCGUAAAGGGCGCGUAGGCGGCGCGGUAAGUCACUUGUGAAAUCUCUGAGCUUAACUCAGAACGGCCAAGUGAUACUGCAGUGCUAGAGUGUGGAAGGGGCAAUCGGAAUUCUUGGUGUAGCGGUGAAAUGCGUAGAUAUCAAGAGGAACACCUGAGGUGAAGACGGGGUUGCUGGGCCAAACACGUGACGCUGAGGCGCGAAAGCCAGGGGAGCAAA